rnacentral:rRNA from 1 species
UACGGGGGGGCAAGCGUUGUUCGGAAUUACUGGGCGUAAAGGGCUCGUAGGCGGCCAACUAAGUCAGACGUGAAAUCCCUCGGCUUAACCGGGGAACUGCGUCUGAUACUGGAUGGCUUGAGAUUGGGAGAGGGAUGCGGAAUUCCAGGUGUAGCGGUGAAAUGCGUAGAUAUCUGGAGGAACACCGGUGGCGAAGGCGACAUCCUGGACCAAUACUGACGCUGAGUGAGCGAAAGCCAGGGGAGCAAACGGG